AUUGAACGCUGGCGGCAGGCUUAACACAUGCAAGUCGAGCGGGGUGAUGGUGCUUGCACUAUCACUUAGCGGCGGACGGGUGAGUAAUGCUUAGGAAUCUGCCUAUUAGUGGGGGACAACAUCUCGAAAGGGAUGCUAAUACCGCAUACGUCCUACGGGAGAAAGCGGGGGAUCACUUGUGACCUUGCGCUAAUAGAUGAGCCUAAGUCGGAUUAGCUAGUUGGUGGGGUAAAGGCCUACCAAGGCGACGAUCUGUAGCGGGUCUGAGAGGAAGAGCCGCCACACUGGGACUGAGACACGGCCCAGACUCCUACGGGAGGCAGCAGUGGGGAAUAUUGGACAAUGGGGGGAACCCUGAUCCAGCCAUGCCGCGUGUGUGAAGAAGGCCUUAUGGUUGUAAAGCACUUUAAGCGAGGAGGAGGCUCUUUUGGUUAAUACCCAAGAUGAGUGGACGUUACUCGCAGAAUAAGCACCGGCUAACUCUGUGCCAGCCGCCGCCGUAA
rnacentral:rRNA from 1 species